UUGUCAAAAGGGAAACAGCCCAGAUCUACAGCUAAGGUCCCAAAGUCAGGUUAAGUGGAAAACGAUGUGAAGAUACGCAGACAACCAGGAUGUUGGCUCAGAAGCAGCCACUCAUUCAAAGAGUGCGUAAUAGCUCACUGGUCGAGCGUCUUUGCGCGGAGAAUUUAACGGGGCUAAACCUGACACCGAAGCUUAGGCAAUCCAGUAAUGGAUUGGGUAGGGGAGCGUUGUAUACGCGGAGAAACAGUAGCGUAAGCGGCUGUGGAGUGUAUAGAAGUGAGAAUGCCGGAAUGAGUAGCGCGAAUGCAGUGAGAAUCUGCAUGGCCGAAAGCCUCAGGUUUUUGGAGGAAGGUUCGUCCGCUCCAAGUUAGUCGGGAGCUAAGGUGAGGCCGGAAGGCGUAGCCGAUGCACAGACGGUAGAGAUUCCGUCACCACCAAAAGAGUUAAGCACAGGGACACAUUUGAAGUCUCAGAGCCGGGUGUUGGUUCCGGUAGAGAUCGAGGGAAGUUAGUACCGAAGUCUGGGAUGGAAGAUGGCGAGAAAAGCUGUGUGUAUUUCUGAGGUGCCCGUACCGCAAACCGACACAGGUAGGUAGGAAGAAGAUUCUAAGGCCAACGGGAGAAGGGUUGUUAAGGAACUCGGCAAAUUGACCCCGUAACUUCGGGAGAAGGGGUGCUCCAGAGAUGGAGCCGCAGAGAAUCGGCCCAAGCAACUGUUUACCAAAAACACAGGUUUGUGCUAAAUCGAAAGAUGACGUAUACGAGCUGACGCCUGCCCGGUGCUGGAAGGUUAAGAGGAGAUGUGCAAGCAUUGAAUCGAAGCCCCAGUGAACGGCGGCCGUAACUAUAACGGUCCUAAGGUAGCGAAAUUCCUUGUCAGGUAAGUUCUGACCCGCAUGAAAGGCGUAAUGAUUUGGGCACUGUCUCAACAGCCCGCCCGGCGAAAUUGUAGUACCGGUGAAGAUGCCGGUUACCCGCGACAAGACGGAAAGACCCCAUGGAGCUUUACUGUAGCCUAAUAUUGGGUUUCGAUGUUGCAUGCACAGGAUAGAUGGGACACAGGGAAACAAUCGCUUUGGCGGUUGCGGAGUGGCCGUUGGGAUACCAUCCUUGCGAUAUUGGAAUUCUAACCUGCGGCUCUGAAUCGAGUCGGGGGACAUUGUUAGGUGGGCAGUUUGACUGGGGCGGUCGCCUCCUAAAGAGUAACGGAGGCGUUCAAAGGUUCGCUCAGCUUGAACGGAAAUCAAGCAAAAGAGUGCAAACGCAGAAGCGAGCCUAACUGCGAGACUGACGGGUCGAGCAGUAACGAAAGUUGGAGUUAGUGAUCCGGUGGUAUGUGAGUGGAAAUGCCAUCGCUCAACGGAUAAAAGUUACCCUGGGGAUAACAGGCUGAUCUCCCCCAAGAGUCCACAUCGACGGGGAGGUUUGGCACCUCGAUGUCGGCUCAUCGCAUCCUGGGGCUGUAUUCGGUCCCAAGGGUUUGGCUGUUCGCCAAUUAAAGCGGUACGCGAGCUGGGUUCAGAACGUCGUGAGACAGUUCGGUCCCUAUCUGUCGUGGGCGCAGGAUAUUUGAUGGGAGCUGUCCCUAGUACGAGAGGACCGGGACGGACGUACCUCUGGCGCACCAGUUGUUCCGCCAGGAGCAUAGCUGGGCAACUACGUACGGAUCGGAUAAACGCUGAAAGCAUCUAAGCGUGAAGCCGACCCAAAGAUAAGAUGUCCCAUUGUUUUAAACAAGUAAGACCCCUUGAAGACUACAAGGUCGAUAGGCACGAUGUGUAAGUGGAGUGAUCCAUUCAGCAAGCGUGUACUAAUAGGUCGAGGGCUUGACCA
rnacentral:rRNA from 1 species